ensembl:lncRNA
AUGACUGAUCAACAGGAGAUUAUUAGAGAAGGAGUGAGGAGUCCAACGGAGGGAGAAAUGCAAUGGAAAACUGUUGAGAAGCAAAAAGAGAAAUUAGGGGAAGCAUUGAAGAUCACCAUGACAGGACAUCUAACAGGUAAGAAUGGUAAAAUACUGGAAAUGGGGAAGGAAAUAAUGAGUGUAUGUGAUCAAGCUGGAAUAAAAGCUGAUAUGCGAUGCUCUCUUGCAAAAGUUUUGUUGGAAGCGGCCAAGGCAUCUGAGGAGAAGGAGGAGAAACUCAGGAAAGAGUUGGAUGGAGCAAAUAUCUUGGAGAAGAGGGGAGUUAAGGACCGAAUAAAAGAGGAGGAGGAGAGACGAGCCAGGCUGGCUGUAUGGGGAAUCAGCUGCCAAGGAUUGGAGCACUGGAUGAGGGAACCUGUGGAAGAGGAAGGUAAGUUGAGACCUGAUUGUCUUCCACACCCACAGCCCACGGCUCCUCUUUUUUCAGCAUGUCCUCCUCCAUAUUUCGGUAAUUAUCCUAUGUUGAGCAUUAAGGAUGGCAGCAUGGAGAAUGAAGAUGGUGUGGUGCUGCGACUAACUGGAGGGCAGGCUGAGUGUGAGUAUGAGGAGCAGCACCGCCCAAAGCCGCAGCAACAAAUGAUAACAAUAGAACCUGAAAAGACAGAGCCACCUGCUGCUCAGGUCCAGACCCAUGUGGAUCAUAAAGAGGAGGAGGACGAGGAAGGAGAAGAAGAACGGUCCAGUGCAGCAGGAGCAACAGCUAGGUCUCCUCCGGAAUUAUUAGCCGGAGAGGCAGAGAGAUUGGUGGAGAUGCUUCGCAAGCGACUCGAAGAAGAAGAACUGACUGAAAAAUUUAAAAAGCAAAAAGGAGUAGCUGAAGGGAAAGCAGUCCCGCCCUCGGAUGUGAGAAAAAAGGUGCAUCUUAAGGUGCACAUACCUAAGGUAAGAGGUGUUGACUCUUGGGAUGGAUGGAUACAGGGCACUCUGGAAGAGGAUAUAGAUGAAUGUAGUGUGCUUCAGAGUGCAGGAGGGGAUGAAGAUGACUCAAGAAGACGCCACGCGUUUGGAUCUAGAAAAGAGCGAGAGGAGAUGGAGGAGCAAUGGCUUCAAAGUGGAGGAAUGCGUGGAGAACAUCCAAUGUUGAGAAGAAGUCAAAUGACAGCGGCAGAAAACCCCCAGAAGGGGGUCAUGGGACAUUCCAAUUAUGCAUUAGAAAUGCCCCUAGUGGUCACAGCAGGGGGUGAGAGACGAUAUAAACCAUAUGGAGUAGGGGAUGUUACAGCCCUAGUGCAGAUGCUCCCACCCAUCAUUGAUGGAGGGGCGGGUUGGCUGAGACAACUUGAUAAAGUGACAUCAGGCACACAGCUCGCCCUGGGGGAUUUUCGAGCCAUAGCUGGCCGGUGUAUGACAGUUACUGCGCUGGAGGAAAUCCAGGUACUGGCAGCUGUCAUCACUAGACCGGACUCCACGUCCUUUUUCAGAGUGCAGGAGCAGAUUGGAAAUGCUGUGCGUCAACAAUAUCCAACCCCAAAUGCGGCUGCCAUUACAAAGUUGGAAUGGAAGCCUGAUCAAAACCCUAGAGAUUAUGUAGAGCAGGUGAAAGAAGUGGAUGCAGAACACAGGUUACAAUCCUUCUGCACGUGGUCUUCACCAGGUGUGGUUUAG